GAGAAAUGUCUUAUGAAAAUUAGUGGAACAAUAGAACUUUAAAUAACUAUCGAUGAAUACGUAUUUUUCUAAUAUUUUUUAUUGGUGAAACUCUUAUUGAAAAUAUUUCUUGUUGAAUGAAUAUUAAUGUUUUUAAACGUUACACCUCGUUUAUUUUCUUUCAUGACGUCAAAGUAAAGCAAAAUAUUUGCAGUAUUUUUCAAUAGACGAUGCAGUACAAUGUGCACAAUCGAUAAUCGAUCUCGUUUAAUUAUACGAUCGGUAUAUCGAAGUCAAUGGCCUCGAAACAAAGAACCGACAUAAAAGGAAGAUAACUAUUCGAUUGUUAUCCACCUCGAAAGAUACAAUAGAAAUUACUUUGAUGCUUGUUUUAAUUCUAGUAUAGUUCAUUUCAGAGAAAAAGAGGUAAAGAAUGAUUAAUCUCCAACCAUUUAUAAACUAUAAGAGGUUCAGCAAAGUAACGCAAAAUCCUUCUACAGAGGACAAGGUCUGCUCUCGAUCUUAUGAAUCAUAGCGUUGCUAAAGCGUAUUCAGACCGUUCUUUCACCGUUCGUGCAAAAACGAGCAUUGAAGUUCAGUGAUCUGAAAAAUGAUUUCGACCAACUUCCGUGGAAUUUCGAAAUGACCGAACUAUAAUCAGAAACACAUUUAUGCAUUAUAUCUAUAUAUGCUUUCUAUGCUUAUUUGAUAUUUUAAUCAGACCCCUGUACAAGUGUAAAUGUAACGGUCUAUAAAUAACGGAUGCCAUAUUCUCACCUGAGCUUCUUCAGCCGAUUAUGACGUCGUGUUUGUCGUCCGUGACACAACACGCGUAUAAAAACACGUAAUCUACUUCGUCUGCGUUCAUUUAAUUCUGCUGUCUCCCUGCACUUUCUAAAACCAUAAAAAUGACGUCACCUGUCAUCAUCGUUCUCAAUCCCCUUACUUAAUCCUUCAAAGGGUUAUGAUGUAUUCCUGUUUAAAAAGAUCAGAUGUUUUUAAAUGAAAGUUUAAUGUUUUUAAGACGAUUAAUUUCUUAAUUUGAAUUUUAAAUUAAAUUUUAAUUGCAAGUUUAAGAUCACAGAAUUUUCUUUAAUAUAUUUUGCAUCAUCAUAAUUCGGUUUUAACUUUAUAGGAUUGUUGUUUUUCUGUAGGUAAGUACUCUAGUGUAAUUUGUUCACUUGAAGCGCAUUGGAAUUGUUCCAAGAUAUUUAUCCUUUUCAUAUCUUAAAUUCAAAAUUAGCCUAAAUUACUGUCAUUGAAAUAUAACAAUUAUGUUAAUUAUAUUUCAAAUUAUAUUUUAAUAAUACAACAUUUCCUCGUAAUUUCUAAUUUCUAUCAAAAUAUUCAAUCUGCUUGGGGUUAAAUCUCAUCGAGUUCUAUUCCAUGUAUAUUAAUCCUGAUUAAAUUGAAUAUAUUAGGUAAAUAUAAUAUCUAAAUAUAAAAUUUAUGUCAAUUUUGAUUCAGAGGAAUAUUCUUAAUUUUUAGGUUUGUUUGCUGAACUUUUGGUAUGCUUUGCUGAUGGACGGUCCGUUUCCGCGUUGUUCCUUGGAUUCCCCAGAAUAUAUAGAUCAUGAAGCGUUUCCGGAGAACGGUGGAACUCCGGGAGUGUCGCCUGGCAGUUACGAAAUCAGCUGUGCGCCUGUCGGUGCUUGUUGUAGGUCGCGUUCAGGACUCCCCUCGGCCUCCCUUCUGCUCUGUUCCUCUCAUUCCAUCUAACAAGAGAGUUAGAGGAGAGGGGAUAUUAAAGGUCGCCUCAACGUGGAGAUCAAUACGAAACCUACAUACCUACCUUCCCUAUCGGACCAAUGGGAAUGCCCAAAAUGAUCCUUUUCGUAUCUAUUAAUUAUCUUUUUAUGUUCAAGACAGUCAGUUUGAUAUAAUUGCCCAAUUUGCUUACUUAAACCUAAACAAAUAAUUAUUCUUCUAUAGUCUUAUCAAUUAAAUCCUUUCUCUCAAAUUGGACAAUUUAUUAUAAUUAUAUGUGUCCAAUACACAAUUAUAUGCAGUACUUCAUUAGAUUCUAGAUAUUUCUAAUACAGUAAAUAAUGAUAAAACUUUUGAUUUUCGAUACAGGGAAAUCAUUGAAGAGGUAUUUAUUCAAAUACAUUUAUUUAUUAAGUACUCAACAUGAUAAUCAGACUUUGGGAGAUUUAGCGUGAUAUACAAUCUACACAAACACCUUGUUUUUUUCUGAUAAAGCUAUAGAAAGAAUAUUCCAGGAUUUUUAAUUUUUUUCUUUCAAUUAAUGAACACAUUUUUUCUGGAUUAACUCAUCCUUUUGUUAAAUCCUAUUAGAAGGUUUAAAUAUCUAACAAGGUCAAAUUUAUAAUAGAGUUCAUAGUUUUUAAUUGGGAGUGUGUAAUAUACUCGAAACGGUAACAUUUGUUUUCAUUUUCUAUCUAAAUUUUGAUUGCAGUUAAUACGUAUAUCAAUCAUCCAGUAUGGACUUCUUAAAGAAUGGAAUUGAGCAACAGUUGAUGGUUAUAAUUAGAUAAUACAUAUGUAUGUGUUUUUUUAAAUGAGUUUCACUUCUUCGACUUCACUUUCCACCCAGUUCACGUCGUCAAUGUCAGUUAGUGGUGAACAGCACGGAAACUUAUUACCUGUAAUCGAUAUGGCUGAAAAUCGAUCAGUUUCACGGAACGAUUAUUGUGUUCGGGGAAGAGAUUCAAGGAUUUCCGAAGCAAGUAAGAAAGCAGUUAUAAAGCUAACUUGGCUUUAUAAUAAAAGAUAAUCAAAAUAGAAUUGAAAACAAAUUAAAAAGAAAGAUCAAGAUAUGGAACUAAAAAUUAUCAAAAGGAAAAAAACUGGAAGACUAGUAUAAAUAGAGCAACUUUAAGAUAAUUACUAUUGACCUUAAAUCGCAAACAGUGACCUUGAAAAAGAGCUCCUUGUACCAAAUACUAUUUCUGUAUUCUAGCACAAUCGUCUUAUUGCAUUACACAAGUUAUAACUGAAUUUGAUACUCUGGCUUCGUUCGUCAUAUAUUCAAGGAUAUAAAUAUAAUACACCUACAUGUAUUUGAAAGAACGAGGAAUAUAAGAAGACGUGUAAUUUAUUUUUACGGAAAACCAGAUAUAUCGUAGGCCAAGCAAUGAGAAAAUUGUCAUUUGAAUCGCAUACGUAAGAACGUCGCGCUGCUUUAAAUACAAUACCAUUAUAACGACAUUAAUUUGCCGAUUUAACCGUCUCAAGAGGCAAGCGACUUUAUCGCGUGACUGGCACCGAGUACAGCAAAUAUUUGUCGUCCAGUUUCUUCAGUCAGCGUCACACCUAUCAGAAUGAUGGCCGUUUUUGCGAAGAGCAGCAAACUGAAAACAAAAUUCUCAAGUCCACCACAACAUGAAUAGAAGACCGAUGUUGAGGAGGAAGAUACAAUCUUAUGCUCCAAUUAACUACAGAUUAUCAUCUACACCCUGUUGUUCAACACUGCAAUAAUAUUAUCAUCAAAGACUCAAUUGAAUCGUUUAAAGGAACACCUUACUAAUAAUACCCUGAUGAAAAAUUGCGAGUAAUCAGCUGCAUACGAUUCAUUAUUUUAAGAAGCUGCUAUCUCUUAUGCAAACUGCAAUUAUCUAGCGGUUCAGCAAGGCUUAAAUUUAGCGAGGAAUUUCGCUAAGUCGGCGAGACGUAAAGGCUGGAGGGCCCUGCCGGUGCUGGGACCGAAAUACACGACGAUUAUACCGGCGACUCCUCGAAUUGUUUCUCUGCAUGUGGCUUUUUUCCCCUCACCGUUACAGAUACGCCUCUGCAAAUGUAAAUCUUCGUGGCCGUGGUACAGUCAGGCAUACAAUUCCAUCGUAAAGAUUCUCUGUAGUCUUAACGACAUCUUCCGAGAGCAGUUUUCUGGUUGUGGUUUCCUCUGUGUAUUAUGUUAAAUUAACAGGAUAAUCACGUGUAACGCGGAUACAUAUAUCAUAGAUAAAUAAUUAUAAAUAAUAUAGAGUUGUAGGUGAGAAUUAUAAGCAAAUGAUGGAUAACACUAACUAAGCUAUUUACGUAUGAAUGGAACCAUCCGCAUGUAUAAUCUUCAACAUUUUAUACAUUUUUCAAUUACGUUAACGUUUACGUCAAGAUGCAUAAUGAGUGUUCAACUUCUCAAAAAACAAGUUGCUUUCAUAAAUCCAUUUAUAACAAGAUGAUAUAAAUGAUUAUAAAUAUCAAGGUAAAUUUUGAAAAAUAGCAUUUUCAGCAUCAAAAUUUCUCUGCAUAUUUUAAUUUAUAGAGUUGAUUUGUAUGAAUUUUACAUUGCUAUAUUGAAGAAUCUAGAUUAUCAAGAAGUCCCAUAAACGAUAUAACAGAAGCGAAGGAUGGAACGGACGGUCGCUGUAUUUUAGUAGUAAGCUGGCUGCAAUAGUUUAAGGCUUAAGGCAAGUCAUUUAUGUUGCAAGGGAUCUUACGU